GUUAGGCUGCUCGCGGGCUCCAGACUCGGAGGACCAGCGAAUGCGAUCCCAGGUCAGGCGGGACUAC
rnacentral:rRNA from 1 species